GUCUCCUGGCUGGCUCGCCAGUUGCUGGGCUGCGCCCUACCGGCCUGCAAGCCCUGUACUGGCUCAGCCUCAAGACCA
rnacentral:precursor_RNA from 1 species